UCCUUGAGGGAUGUCACCUGCAAGAUUCACUUCAAAUUAGAAAACAAUGAAUGAAAUCAGACCAAGUAUUUAGCAUCAAAAUACAAAGUUGAGGGUACUCCAUCUCUCCUGAAGAAUCCACUAAUUUUUUAUUCUUAAAACAUGACAGAUUGAGUAGACCAUAGCAUAGGUCUGAAAAAAGGUAACCUCCACCAUGAAUUCAUGGAAGCUCCAAUAAUGUAAAGCAACAUGUGCUUUAUGGAAUUGAGGAAGCACAAACAUUACAAAUAUUUAUAGCUUACAGAUGAAGCCGUGAAAGGAUCACUCAAGCCCAAAAGAAACAAAUUGUUAUGAACAGGCAAUUAGCUCAUCAGGUUAGGCAAAAUACAAUUCCAACCAAGUGUAUGCUAAUCCAGGGGCAGUAGUUGUAGGGUUCUUGUUAUCAUUGUGAUGCAG
rnacentral:misc_RNA from 1 species